AAUGAAGUGCCUGAAAAAAGGAUUAUUUUGAUAGAAUAAAUCAUGUAGAAAAAUUACCUUCAUUA
rnacentral:tRNA from 1 species